rnacentral:rRNA from 1 species
CAGUAGCCGCGGGAAUACGGAGGAUCCGAGCGUUAUCCGGAAUUAUUGGGUUUAAAGGGUGCGUAGGCGGAUAGAUAAGUCAGUGGUGAAAGACGGUGGCUCAACCAUCGCAGUGCCGUUGAUACUGUUUAUCUUGAAUAUGGAUGAGGUAGGCGGAAUGUGGCAAGUAGCGGUGAAAUGCAUAGAUAUGCCACAGAACACCGAUUGCGAGGGCAGCUUACCAAGGCAAAAUUGACGCUGAGGCACGAAAGCGUGGGGAUCGAACAGGAUUAGAUACCCGUGUAGUCCCUGUCUCUUAUAC